GAUCCCAUCCCGAACUCGGAAGUUAAGCUCUUCGGAGCCGAUGGUACUGCACGGGUAGCCGUGUGGGAGAGUAGGACGCCGCCGGGA
rnacentral:rRNA from 1 species